rnacentral:lncRNA from 1 species
CUCCGAAGCAGCCCCUGCAGGCCUGGCCUCCUCCCUCUGGUUUGUGACUUCAUCAAAGGGCAAGGCAGAACACAGAGGCCGCAGGGCAGGGCAAAGCCAAUGAGCAGGUGGGGGCACCCGAGACCCUUCGGUCCUCUGUCCGGGAGCCAGGGCCUUUCCCUCAGACAUCGACGCCUUGGGCUUGGGGUCAGAACACGUGGCAGAGGCCUGGACCACCCCAC